GAUUUGCAAUUAUGCCAGCAGGCCUUAUGGUGGGGGUUAUUGUGCUGGAGCAGAGAUGGAAGCUGGUAUUGGGGAUGGGAAAGCAGGUGUGUACAGCCCUGCAGAGCAGCCCUGGUGCAGUUCCCCUGGUUGGGGAACAUGGGGUUUUUACUGGCUGGGGACAGAAAAUUUGUAAUUGUGUUCCAGGAUCCAUGGUCGCUUGUUUGAGCUUAGCUGUCAGCCUGACAGCACACCCUUAUCCUUUCCAGCCUGCCAUCCGUUGUGUCCCUGCUUGCUCAUGUGGAGUUUUGGGAGUGAUGUAUUUGCUGCCAAAGUUUCAAGAGCUCACGCUUGAUGGCCGUGCUGUGUGAAGCAGCCUUGGCAGGUUACUUACUACCAGAGGGCUUGGAAACUUGGGAUUUCAGAAGUGCAAUGCUCAGGACUGCUCACUGCUGUUACAGCAACACUCAUGGUUUUCCACAAACUCUUCUUUCUUCUUGCUUAGGGCAGUAAUGCUGUCUGAGGGUGCUGACUGCUGCCCAGGCUUUUUUGCAAGUGUGUGAAGAAAAUGAGCAUUAUCAUUAAGAACAGCUGUUUGUAUAUGGCAUUUGCACCAGCUCACUUAUGCACUUUUAUUUCUAUAGCCUGCCCCAUACCAAUCACUGUCCUACCCUAAUGCUUCUAUUUUUCCCUGUUUAUUGACCAGUAGGAAGACAAUUUAUGAAAUGUUUUUAGUUUUCCAGAGAUUUCAGUGCAAGGUGUACAUCUUCAUUAGGAGUUCAUAAGGAGUAACAUCAUGAGUCCUUCCCCUGUUGCCAUAAGUGAGCCUCAGGGAACACCUCCCAGGGAUCCAGUGGAGUGACUCUCUUCUUCCCUCUGCUCUGCUUUUGGUUUUCCUGCUGUGAUCAUGAAUGGAAACAGCCUAAGAAGCUCAAUUCUGUAUUGAAACUGCCUCCUAGGUUUCUAAUGUGUGAUUUUGACCCAUUGGAUGGGGGAUGAAUAUUUUUAAAUUGUCUUAUUUGAAAUUAAAGGAAGUUUUUUAAUUAAAGGAAAAUUUUGCUCUCAGAAGAAUUCAGGUUUGUGGUCAUUUUCCUCUAGAUAUAAACAAAAAGCUCAUUCCAAACCCUGAAAAUUUGCAUCCUGUAAAUAUUGUAAAAUGCUUCAACUUUCACAAACAUGGUACGAUAAAUGAGAACUUUUUAGUUGAGAGUGAAACUCAAUUGUUGUAUAACUUUUCUACUCAAUUAUAACCAUGCCUGAACAUUUUCAAGCUCCCUUGUCCUUUGCUGCAAUCAGAUCUAUUUUUUUCACAGACACUGUGGCCCAGCAACUCGGCGUUAGUAGAGUAACAAGUGAUUAGAAGCAGAUAUGAACUUCUGACUACCAAAUGGAUAGCCUCCCAUUAAGGCAGCUGAAGAAAAUGUCUUUUUAGCAUGGAAAUUUCUGAACAGCUCUUCACUGGAAAUCUUCACAAGUUUGAAACAAGAAGAGUCUCUUCUAUCAGCAAAGAUCUUUAGAAGGUGUCUCAGCAAAAACCUGGACAAGCCCCAAGUAUUGACCUUGGUCCUAAUCUGCAUGGUUCUCUAAUCACUUAUUCCCAUGAGGAUGGUCAGACCCUCGUCUCUUAGCAGUGGCUGCAAAUGGGUGAAGUGACACUGUGAACCCCUGGUGACAUCCUGCAUGUGACCAGCGCCUGAGGCACGUCUGCUCCGUGGGCUGACUGUGGUGGGUGAUUCCAGCCAUUCCAUAGCCCCUGGCAGGAUGAAGCUGAGAUGUCCCAGCACUCAGGCUUGGAUCCCUGCUGGCUGCUGGAGCACAGCCAUGGAGAGCAGCGUUCACAGAGCUGCCCUGUCGUGUGGUAGGCAAGGAGGUUAUAACCACAUCUCCUGCACCACAGAAUCCGUGCCAUGAGCUGUCAUCUUCCAACUCUGUCUUCCCCACCCCCAUUUCAUUUAACAUACAGUGCAAAAAGAAGCUGGACUGGUCCCACAUGAGGGGACCAUGGUGCAAUCUUCUCUCUGAGCAUGAAACAGGAUCCCUUAGGAAUAAUGGGAUUAACUGAGGAGAAGUAGGGGCACUUAGCUUCUGGCAUUAUUAAAUCUUGCAAUCCUUAUUUGAAAUUUUGCACCACACAUCUCAAGCUACUUUUUGCAGAGGCAGACAAUAACUGUCAUCUGUCUGGGAUUUGUGCAGAACAAUAACACUGGGUUUUUAACAGCGGAUUAUGGAUAUUCUAUCCAGCUCAUGCCUGCUGUAACUCUACUAACAUCAAAGGGUUUGCACUAGGGAUGAAGUUUGCACAUUCAACUUUGUUGGCCAAAUUCAAGUUAGGAAAUUCAAUGUUGUUGAACAAGAUCAGUCAUUAAAACACAUAAUAACUUAUUGUCCUUUUGCUAAUCAUCAUUAAAUGAGCUAAAUGUCCUAAACUAGCCCUUGCUUUCUUGCAGGAUGGAUUCAAUUUGGCUUAAGAUGAAGCUCCAGAUCUGUCACCCAUAGUCAGCAUCCCAGCUGCCCUCACUCCAUUGGAUCCAGCUGAAGUACUCUGCUCAGCAGGAGAGCUCAGCUGGGCUAAUGGGCCCUAGGGGCUUGUUCCACUAUUUUCUCAUCUCCUGUUAGGUUUUAGCCAGGUACAGAAUCCACUGCCUAUUUCCUGAUUAAUCCAGUAUCUGUUUUGUCACAGCUGAAAAUAGCAAGAAGCCUACGGAGAGCUUUAAAUAGUGGCAAGUCAGAGCAGGUAAGAGCUGUCAUCUGCUGCAGAGUGGGAGGUCAGACUGAUGUAUGUAAUGCACCUACAGUGAAGUCAAGCAAGAAGACCCUUUUCUCCAAAGCUAAGCAGCUUUCAUAACUCCCACCAACAAGAAGGUGACAGGAGAGGGAGCCUAGCUUUUCAUUUGCUCUGCUGAAGUGGAGGAACGGAAAUGGCUUUGAGAGAGUCUGCCAUUUCAAGCUUUUAAUGGGUGGUUUUAACCUGCCUGUUUUAAACAUGUUCGGAGGUCAAUAAAAGGCAAAGCUCUCUACUUGGGAAUCUUUCUCUCAGCACAGUCUUAGUUUAAUAGUUUUCAUUAAAUGCUUUCAUCAUCUCUUUCCCUCCUCCUUUGUUAGACUUCACAAAACCCUGCUGAUUUACUUUAGGUUUAGCUGCACUCCAGAGAAAUGCAAAUUGCACAGGUGGCCAUGCAAAGGGUCAAGAUUGAUAUUCAAGGUGUUGUCCUUUGAGCAUGAGCGAGAAGGCUAGUACUUUCCCAACUCCAUGUUUUUCCUUGUAGGAAAGGAGUCAGAUUGUGCAUCUGUUCUCUCUUGUCUGAGCCUUUCCAAACAGCUCUGUUACAUGGGCAAAGAACCAGCCGGGCUGUGCUGAAGGAAAGGCAGUCAAAGAAGCAGGGAUCGUAAAUGCUGAUGUGGCUUGGCUGCAAUAGUAGUGCAUGUAUUGUCUAAUUUCUGCAACAAAGACUAUGAAAGAAGUCAGGGUGUGAUGCAGCCAUGACCACAAUGACAGGAACAGCUCCCAAGUAGGAGCAAGUCUCUACUUCCUUUUGCUCACGCUCUGGCACCUGAGUUUUAAGAAACUGCCUUAAAAACAAACUCCUUACAUCACCAAAGAUAAUGUUCUGUUCACCUAAGGUAGAAAUCUAGAAUAAAUCUGUCUGUGGUGUAAAGCAUCAGAUUUCUUUUUCAAGCAUGAUGGAAAUAACAGUUCUUAUCUAAUUCUAAUGAGUACUUGAGUCUUAGUUUUAAAUACGUUUGUGCCUCAUACAGUCUUAACUUUGACUUGUCCACUUAGGUAAAAAGACUAAUAUAUUUCUGUUAAAGAAAAAAACUGAUGUUGGAUUUGCUUGUAACAGUUAAGCAGCAGUCUUAAAUGACUUCUUAACCAAGCAGUAGUACCUUGUUACAUCCUGUAUCUAAUAUGGACAGGACUCUUGUCACCUGGUAUAUUUUUUUUGUUAUUCAAUUUCACUGCUUAUAAUAAACACUACUUUUUUUUUUCUUCUUCUAAAUGAUGUAACAAUCCCCUCCCUGUCUCAUCCCUGCACAGGUCAUGGGUAUUUAGCUGCUAAAUUUCUGUACCUCAGGAAAUUAUGCUUCCAGAACAUCUUGUUUAUAUAUUUUCUAAACUGUUGUGCUUUCCUCAAAAUGAUGAAUGUCAGCAACAGCUGGACAGUGUAUGAUUAAAUUUCACCUUGUCUCCAUUCCCAGAACUCUACUUCCAUAUGGAGUUCAGUAAAGCAGUGCUAAAAGCAUGGGAGCAGGGAUAAAUACGCCUUGAGCUGUAACUUGUUCUGCAUUCAUAACUUAGUAUUUCGGCAUGCAUUUUGCAAAGCACUAGUUUUGUUUACUAUUGUGACUUUUACAAUUCAUCUGCUGUUUUCUGUCUUUUGUCAAUUGAUUUGGAACUUUGCUUUUACACACACGAACAGAUUUUGGAUCUUACCUUUCUCUGGAGCACUGCCAAUAAUGACUUCAAUUGCAAAAAGUGUACGCUGUAAUAAAAAUGGGUGAAAAUCCAAAUUCCCCAAAUGCAGCCCUAAAGUACACAAGGGCAAACAUUUUCUAACAGAACAGAACAAGCCCUCCAAAAAGCAGCAAACACACAGGUACCUAGCAUGAAGGUACACUGUUUGCAGUUACUGUGCCUCCCCUUUCUGGCUAGUAGGGUGUGGAUCAGAUCUACCAAUGCAUACAAUUAAGCUGGGUAGUUAGUACUUUAGGGCCCUGAUUGCAAUUAAAGCUCACCAUGAUGCAAGCAAAAUGGUUUGCUGAGUAUACAACUGUUCUCUUAUUAAGUCACUUACUUUUGAGUAGUAUCUGUACAGUUUUGUGGCACAGUCAUGAUUUGCUUUUGUGAAAGCUAGCCCUUAGUAGUAACGACCUCCCAUUGGCCCAGGCCUCUGGUGUUGCACCUGGCAUGUAUUAAGUGAAUCUGAGGAUUUUGCGGGUUGUCUUCCUAUUUAAAAGUUAUACUUUUUCUAGCAACAACAUGACAUUAUUCCAGGAUGGUGAUGUUGCUUGAUCUCCCUUCUAUAGAACUGCGUUAUAGCAAGUUCUUCCCUCUUCUGUGUUUCUAGCACUUGCACAGUUUGUAGCAUUAUAGUUGAAUCUUCUUAUUCAAAUAUGGCACUUGCCCUUUUGUUUUAAAUCCCAUCACUAAUUUGAAAAGAUCAAAUAAUGUGCCUCUUCCUAGGUCAGUAUCUUCCUGUAGGUAAUGAAGGACACUUGCUUUUUGUCUUUUGGUGAUGAAUAACACUAGGCAUAGGGAGAACCCAUUUAAAAGCCUGUUCAGUGCAUCCUUCCCUGUUUCAGGGACACAGGAGAACUACCACUAGGAGUUCAGGAGGCAGGUAGGAUGCUACUUUUUUUGGGUAUCUCCAUCCUUACCCACAUGCAGGUGGGUUGGUCUAUGUCAAAUAAUACUUAAUAACUUUCCCUGCUUGUCUACUAUGCAGAAAAUAACCAACACGCAGAGAU